rnacentral:misc_RNA from 1 species
UCAAUUGAAUUCCAUAUAAUUCAUUUUUUAGUAUAAUUUCAUAAUUGAAAUAUAUUUGCUCUCAUUUUCUAACCCACCCCUCAAUAGUAAAAUUAAAAAAUAAUAAUUUUCUUCUCUAUCAAAAAAAAAUCUUAUACCUAAUAAAUUUAUAACAAUUAAAAAUAUAUUAAUAAAUAUAAAAUAAAUUAACAUGUCUCAUCAUAUAAGAGAUUAUAUAACAUAAAUAGUGUCAUUACUAAGUGUAUGGUAAGCUUAGAUAUUAAAAAGUUGAGACAAAAUUAAAAUACCUUAUAUAGUUGUCCAAACAUAUUAAUAGAAAAUAGAUAGAGAGUUUGUUUGUAGUUUCCAUUUUCUUAUUUAGUAAUGGUCAGAGCACUUUUAAUUUUUUAAUCAAUUAUUGGUACUUAUUGGAUGUUGUAAAUUCUAUUGAUCACAUUAGUAAUUAAAGUUCAAAAGCGAAUAAUUUUGGCAUGUGAGAAUAUAAAAAGAUGAAUGACAGAGGAUAAUUUUUUUGAUAAGGGCAUUUUAGUCCAAAAAUGUUGCUAGGUAAGUUUUAUGGAAUUCAUUUCAAAUUCUAUCAAAUUUUAUAGAAAUUGGUUUUAGUUAUAACCAAUUUCAUGGAAUUUAAUUUCUGAAAUUGAAAUCUAAUAUGUUUUCAAACCAAACACACAAUAUAUGGAAUUCAAUUGAAUUCCACAGAAUUUGAACCAAUGCAGAGAAAAUUUGUUAAAUUAUGUAAUUGUGCAAGAGUUUAAAAUUGUUGGUCUUUGGUGUGGUUUCAGUAAUUAAUGAUAGAAAGGACGAGUGGUAAAUAUAGUCUAUAAGACCAUAAACGAAGGUAAUAUUUUUUAGGCCUAAAUGGUCAAAAAAAAUUCUUACUUGUUAGCGUCUUUGUAAUUUUGUCUAAACAUUUUGAAUUUUUUCAAUUUUGUGCUGAUUACAAAACUUUGUUGCAAGUAGAUCUUAUCAUUCAAAAUGGGUCAACAUUGAAAUAAAAAAAGUAAUACAUUAUAAUCAUGUUGAAUAAAAAGAUUGAUCAUAGCAUGGGGAAGGACUUGCAACUAAUUUUGACUAUUUAUUUAUUCAAAUUAGUAUUAAAAUAUUACUUUUUAUAAUGUAAGUUUGCAACCAUGUUUUGAAAUUGGGACAAGACUACCAAAUUAAAAGAUUUGGACAAAAAUACGAAAAAGUUUGAUUUAUUUAUUUUUUUUAAUUUUUUUACAAUUAGAUCUGUGUUUUAGGGAGUGGGUUUGGUGUAAUGGUAAAGUUACUUCAUUUGUGACUUGGAAGUCAUAGGUCCGAGUCAUGGAAACAGCUCUCUGCAAUGUAGUGGCAAGGCUGCCUACAUCUAUCCUCCCCAUGGCCUACAAGUGUGGAAUUUGAGCACUGGGUCACCCAUUAGAUCUAUGUUUUAUUUAUGUGAUGUAGAAUUUCACAUGGUGUUGUUUGUUCAUUUAGAAUUAUGUAACAGGGAAUAGAGAUCACAAUAUUGUUGCAUUGUUAUGAAUAUCCUAUAUAAGAUGAUGCAGAGGAUGAUGUUUUUCUUCCUUAUAUUGUAACAGGAACUACAACUAUGGCGCUACUGGAGAAGGUAUAAAGGCGGAUUUGUUGAACCAUCCUGAGUACAUAGAGCAAAAUGCCACCCUUGCCUUCCAGGCUGCAAUUUGGAGGUGGAUGACCCCAAUUAAGAAGUCACAGCCCUCAGCCCAUGAUGUCUUUGUUGGCAACUGGAAACCCACCAAGAAUGAUACUUUGGCUAAGCGGGUUCCUGGUUUUGGUACAACAAUGAAUAUUCUCUAUGGUGAUAUGGUUUGUGGCCAGGGUGAUAUUGAUGCCAUGAACGACAUCAUCUCACAUUAUCAAUAUUACUUGGACUUGAUGGGAGUUGGUCGAGAAGAGGCAGGGCCCCAUGAGUAUCUUACUUGUGCUGAGCAGAUUGCAUUCAAUCCAUCCACUUCCAAUCCUACUUCAUCUUCUUGAGCUUUUGCAUGCUGCUUUAUACAGCCCAUGGAAUCCUCAUACAAGUGCUCUCGUAAAUAAAAUGUGUGGCAGCUAAGAUCAUAAAAUUAAUUUUCAACUUUGUAAUGUGUAAUAUGGAUUGGUUGCAUGCCUCUAGAUUUUCAUGUUCAUUUUAUGUCCGAAAUUUGCUUUGUAAGUGGUUCUGCAUCGGUCAUGUACCAUAUGUAUCAUUCAUUGUUCUGGGUUUUAAUUUCAAAGUUCUGUUGGAUUCUACAUUUGCAGAAUGUGUUGCCAUGGGCUUUAGUUCAGACUCUUGUUCGGAGCAUUGCAAUUUUCAAGAGUAAUUUUUCUAUUUGCACUUGAGUCCCUGCCCUUACUUACGCCCCCCAACUUGCACCACCCCCAACCCGUCAACUGGCUCAUGAGUCCUGUUAGGAACCGACAAUAUGUAUGGUCCGAAGAUGUGAGGCAAUUUUGGUGAGCGUCUAGAAGCCAUCGGCGAGGCCAAUGAAUCAGUUUUACCGAUUUUCACUUUGGGUUCUGGCUUCUCCAAUUCAAAACAGGGCAACAGCAUUCCGGUACAUUGCCAGCUCACUUCUACGGCUUGGCCAUCUCAUUUAUCGUAUUGAAUAUUACUAUGCUAAUCCAUCCUUGUAAUUUCCAACCAAUGCUAUGUUUCCUUAUUAGAUAUUUCCAAUAACAAUGAGAGUGUUUCUCUUAUUUAUUAGCAAUAAGGACCUACAGAUCUCUUCCCCCCAUUCUCUCUGAACUUUGUUUGAUCUCUUUCUUCUCAUCUCCUCCUGACUCUUUCCACUCUCUCUCAAAGAAAAUGUACAUUAUUUGUGUGCAUGUGUGUUAAAAGGAGGUAGUUCGUGGCUAUAUAUACACAAUAAUUUUAUAUCCUAAGAUCUUUUAGAGGCAGGAAAUGAUUGUUUGCAUCAGAGGAGAAGAUGAGAGUGAUACAUCAUCACCUCGAAGAACUUCAAUGGCAAACAAUACUUUGGCUGAGGUCUUUGUACCACAGGGAUCACCCAGCUCAAUAAACAUAGUUAAGCAUGUGGUAAUUGUAAUGGAUGCACUUAAGGGGUUCUCCCGGGAGCCCCUCCAGUGGGCGCUUGAUCAUGUCAUUCGAACUCGCUGCACCAUCACUCUCCUUGGUGUCAUGCCAUGGCUCCCGCUCCCUUUGUCUUUGAAGACAUGGUUGGAUGUUUGGACAUUUGCUCUUGAGGAUUUGUCAGCAUUGAAAUGUAGAAGUGAUUGGAAGAAUAAUAAUGACCUCAAGUAUCAGAAGGUUCGAGGGAUAAUAGAGCUCUGCGAGCAAAAAGGGGUGGUUCCAUUGAUUAAAGUGGCAGUGGGGCACCCCUUAAGGCUGGUCGUUCUUGAGCAUACCACAAAUCUUCAUGCUACCUUCGUGGUUCUUGAUAGGCAUCUCAGAAAGAACAGAGCAUUCUUUGCAGAGAGAUUGCCGAGCAGUGUGGUGAUGAUGAAGAGUGAUGGAGAGGUUGACAUGCUCAAAAUCCAAUCAACCAUUGAUCAUUCUGAUCUUACUCCUCAAGAAUCUCCCACAACUAUAAUACCUACCCCUGAGGUUAUUCUUUCUAAAGCUCUGUCGUCUAAGGUGAAAAAUCCAUAAAAGAGGCUAAGAAGGUUGGAAAGUUGUUAUUGAGAAGCAAGAGGUUGCAUCUUUUUCCGGAAGCGAUUGCAAAUAUUGAUAUUUACUUCCUAGUUUGAGGCUAAUGUGUGCAUGGAAAAUCUUAUGCAUUUGCCUAAUAAAAUUACGAACUUCUCAAUUGGUAUUUUUGACAUUGAUUUGGGUAUUUUUAUUUUAUUUUAUGUAUAUAUUUUUUAAUAAAAAGUGAACUUUCUU